UUGUGAUAUACUAUAACUGUUGCUUCGGCGGGUAGGGUCUCCGCGACCUCCCGGCCUCCCGCCUCCGGGCGGGUCGGCGCCCGCCGGAGGAUAACCAAACUCUGAUUUAACGACGUUUCUUCUGAGUGGUACAAGCAAAUAAUCAAAACUUUUAACAACGGAUCUCUUGGUUCUGGCAUCGAUGAAGAACGCAGCGAAAUGCGAUAAGUAAUGUGAAUUGCAGAAUUCAGUGAAUCAUCGAAUCUUUGAACGCACAUUGCGCCCGCCAGCAUUCUGGCGGGCAUGCCUGUUCGAGCGUCAUUUCAACCCUCAAGCUCUGCUUGGUGUUGGGGCCCUACAGCUGAUGUAGGCCCUCAAAGGUAGUGGCGGACCCUCUCGGAGCCUCCUUUGCGUAUAACUUUACGUCUCGCACUGGGAUCCGGAGGGACUCUUGCCGUAGAACCCCCAAUUUUCCAAAGGUUGACCUCGGAUCAGGUAGGAAUACCCGCUAA
rnacentral:rRNA from 1 species